rnacentral:lncRNA from 1 species
GGAUGCAACGGAGGCAAAUUUUGCCAAAGGAAGAUGAGAAAAGAUGGCUUCGUCCUCAACCUAGAAAUUCAGUACAGAGGAGCUAUUAUCCACAUAACCCUGCCAUGGCCUUCCCAACAUAUCAAUCGAAUCAUGCACCUGCUGCUGGUCAAUUCUAUCCCCCCUGGGUACCACAAGGUAGCUUACCCAAAUGGUGCACAUAUGUGGGGUUCGCCUUACUAUCCUGGAUGGCAACUCUCCCAGACUUGGCACUGGAAGCCUCAUCCAGGGGUAAUAUUUGUCGAAUCAUGCACCCGUUGCUGGUCAAUUCUAUCCCCCCUGGGUACCACAAGGUAGCUUACCCGAAGCAUAUAUGUGGGGUUCGCCUUACUAUCCUGGAUGGACUUGAAGCCUCAUCCAGGGGUAAUAUUUAUGCCCUUAACUAAAUAACUUCUGUUUAGCUGAAAGUAAGUAUUUUACUGAAUUUGGAUUUCAAAGAAUUAUAAAAAUCUGUUAUUUCAUGAUAUGCAGC